rnacentral:lncRNA from 1 species
GGCCAGAUCCGGCAGGGGAAAUCUAUUUCAAAUUGACAAGCAGAGCGAAAACACACUGAAGUACUCAUUUGGGAUGGCAGGAAAAACAGUUAUUGCGGCUUGCAAGGCAUACCUGUCAACUAGAUCCGAUAAGAACUCCAAUUCCUCGUCUCUGGUGAUCCUAAUCUCCAUAGCCAUGAUCUUGAACAUCGAUAACUGCCGAACGAUCGGCCUGGGGACACCCCAGCCCGAACGAGUCGUUCGUGCUGGGAGAGUCGCUGGAACGAACGAACUCGUUCGGUAGAAGUACCCCUCUAGCCCGAACCAUCCCACGUCAGAUAAACUUGUCGCUAGCAGGGACAACGAUCUGGCUCUUCCCCUCC